UGUCUUCUGACUGGACCCUGACUUCCAUGCCCUUUCCACUCUCACUCCAGUACAUGCCCAAACCCCAAUCUUUGUUGCUCCAGGCAUUGCCUCUGUGGCGCUGUGUCCCCUCCUUUGAACUCUGAUCCUUCUGCUCAGGCCCUUUCUCCCAGUCUGAACUCACCAUGAGUCAGGCCCUGUGCUAGGUGCUGGGAUGAAGCAGUGACUGACACAGGCCUGGACCUGUCCUUGGGAAGAGUGCGUCUGUGACACAGAUACUGUGCCAUGUGGCAAAGUAAGCGCGUGGGACAGCAGAGCCUUGUUUGCCAUUAAAGUAAUAUCACAAGUC
rnacentral:lncRNA from 10 species